ACGAACGCUGGCGGCGUGCUUCACACAUGCAAGUCGAACGGUGAAGGGGUCUGCUUUUGUGGGCCCUGGAUGAGUGGCGAACGGGUGAGUAACACGUGAGUAACCUGCCCCCUUCUUCUGGAUAACCGCAUGAAAGUGUGGCUAAUACGGGAUAUUCUGGGUCUGUCGCAUGAUGGGUCUGGGAAAGAUUGCGCCUUUGGGUGUUUUUGGUGGGGGAUGGGCUCGCGGCCUAUCAGCUUGUUGGUGGGGUGAUGGCCUACCAAGGCGGUGACGGGUAGCCGGCCUGAGAGGGUGGACGGUCACACUGGGACUGAGACACGGCCCAGACUCCUACGGGAGGCAGCAGUGGGGAAUAUUGCACAAUGGGCGCAAGCCUGAUGCAGCGACGCCGCGUGAGGGAGGGAGGCCUUCGGGUUGUAAACCUCUUUCGCCAGUGAAGCAGGCCUGCUCCUUGUGGGUGGGUUGACGGUAGCUGGAUAAGAAGCGCCGGCUAACUACGUG
rnacentral:rRNA from 1 species